rnacentral:rRNA from 1 species
UUUAUGGAGAGUUUGAUCCUGGCUCAGGACGAACGCUGGCUGCGUGCUUAACACAUGCAAGUCGAACGCUGAAGCCUGGUGCUUGCACCGGGUGGAUGAGUGGCGAACGGGUGAGUAACACGUGAGUAACCUGCCCCUGACUUCGGGAUAAGCCCGGGAAACUGGGUCUAAUACCGGAUACGACCGUCGGACGCAUGUCUGGUGGUGGAAAGUUUUUUCGGUUGGGGAUGGGCUCGCGGCCUAUCAGUUUGUUGGUGAGGUAAUGGCUCACCAAGACGACGACGGGUAGCCGGCCUGAGAGGGCGACCGGCCACACUGGGACUGAGACACGGCCCAGACUCCUACGGGAGGCAGCAGUGGGGAAUAUUGCACAAUGGGGGAAACCCUGAUGCAGCGACGCAGCGUGCGGGAUGACGGCCUUCGGGUUGUAAACCGCUUUCAGCAGGGAAGAAGCGCAAGUUACGGUACCUGCAGAAGAAGUACCGGCUAACUACGUGCCAGCAGCCGCGGUAAUACGUAGGGUACGAGCG